rnacentral:rRNA from 1 species
GACGAACGCUGGCGGCGUGCUUAACACAUGCAAGUCGAACGGAAAGGCCUAGCUUGCUGGGUACUCGAGUGGCGAACGGGUGAGUAACACGUGGGUGAUCUGCCCCUGACUUUGGGAUAAGCCUGGGAAACUGGGUCUAAUACCGGAUAUUCAUUUUUCCUCGCAUGGGGAUUUGUGGAAAGCUUUUGCGGUUGGGGAUGGGCCCGCGGCCUAUCAGCUUGUUGGUGGGGUAAUGGCCUACCAAGGCGACGACGGGUAGCCGACCUGGGAGGGUGAUCGGCCACACUGGGACUGAGACACGGCGCAGACUCCUACGGGAGGCAGCAGUGGGGAAUAUUGCACAAUGGGCGCAAGCCUGAUGCAGCGACGCCGCGUGAGGGAUGACGGCCUUCGGGUUGUAAACCUCUUUCAGCUCCGACGAAGCGCAAGUGACGGUAGGAGCAGAAGAAGCACCGGCCAACUACGUG